rnacentral:lncRNA from 1 species
CAAAUCUUUAGGUAACUAAAAGUCAUCCCUGAAAAGGGACUUAUGCUUUCAAAGAACAAUCACCUUAAGAUUGAAGGCUAUACCAUAGUUAUCAAAAUCGGACUGGACUGUUCGAACCACCUAUGAUUUUAACUAUGCUGCUGACCCGAUAAAAAUCCAAAGGAACCGCUGGCCCAAUUAUGAAGAAACCGCCCAAUCUACAAACGUUUAUAUAAAAACCAAUUAUCUUCUCCUUCACAUUCAAAAAUCAAAUUCGACGCCCUACCUGUAGAGAGUAGCCUCUCAGCCAUCCCCUGCAACUUGCAAUUUAACUCCCAAAAAUCCAAACCUUCAAAUUUCAAGUUAUAUUAGAUGGAAGAAGAAGAUGUAAGUUUAAAUUUUAUGAUUUUGUUUAUAAAUUUCAGUUUUUUGUCAAAGUAUGCGUAAAAUAUAUAUCUCCAGAUUGGUAAUUUUUGAAAGAAUUUUAAUGCCCUACUGAAUUCUGUAUGCUUUAUUGAUUCAAAGCCCUACUUGUCUGAAUUUCAUACUUUAUUGCAUAGUUUAUCAUGCCCUACCUGUGUUAGGUGGAAUUCCUUUUACCUGAAUUUCAUGCGAAAACUAUAUCUCAAUGAAGUAUGAAUGAAUUACAUUCAGAUGACUAGUUGAUUUUCUGAAUUAAUUAAGUUCAGAUGACUGUUUGAUUUUCUCAUGUAUUCAGAAAAUCAUUUAUGAGAUUAAUGGUUCAGAUGACUAGUUGAUUUUCUGAAUUAAUUAAGUUCAGAUGACUGUUUGAUUUUCUCAUGUAUUCAAAAAAUCAUUUAUGAGAUUAAUGGUCAAUCUCUUCCAAACUGCUGCAAAAUGGUUUAUGAGAUUAAUGGUCAAUCUCUUACAAAUGAAUUAAGUUCAGAUUAUCUGGUCAAUUUUGUAAGUUAGAUUAAGUUUAGCUGGGUGAUUUUCUCAUCUAUUAAAAAUUGCUAGGAACAAGCUAUUACCGAUCAUUAUCAUCCACCAUACAACUAUGAUGGUUUACACUUUCAUUAAGUUAGGAAAUGCUUCCAUUUCCAUUAGAAUUAGGUGGAAUUCCCACUGCUCUGGUUUUUCAAAUUUUGGUUUAGUCACUGACUAUUGCUAAUUUAACUAGGCCAUACAAGGUUGUGGAAGUAAAAAAGUUAAAUUGAAAUUAUGGAAAAAACAACAAGUGAACUGGAGAACCGGUUGACUACACUGGUUAGACCAAUUAGCCUAUUGGUAGUAUGCUUGACCCCAGUUGUUGUGUUUCUUAAGAUUCUCAAUUACUAGGCUAUGCGUAGUAGUUCUUGUUGAUGAAAGUAAUCCAUGACAUGCUAUAAUUUGCUAAAUAUAUUAUUUUCCCAGUCUUUGAAUGCUUCAUUUUUAUGCUCCUGUUAAUGAAUUUCAGUUUCUUCAUCUACAUCUUAGUUUUUGUGAACAAAAAUGUCCCAUGGUGUUAUCACAUUUCACAGUUAAUGCGGACUAUGUCUGAAUAACCAAUCAAUGCGGAUGAUUUUGCAAGUUGGUGGAUUUUUCAUAGUACCAAUGUUAAAUAUUAGUCAUGACUUGUAUAUAUGAGGUCACCACUUGAUAAGUAAUGCACCCUAUGAAUUAGUUCUUAUUACUAUUAGAAUAUCAUUCAUUGGUGAACACUAAAUAUUUGUAAUUGAACUUCUUGUUUUCUUUGUAUAGUUCAAUGGUGUUAAUAAUGCCUCGUGCUAGAGGAAGAAUUGAUAUAGCAUGGUGACAUUGUAGAGAGGUUUUAGAAACUGGUAAUAAUGGAAAUUUAAAAAAAAAAAAAAAAAAAAAAACUCAUUUGCUUGUAUUGUGGAAAGACUUUUGGUGGAGGUGGUAUUAAUCGAGUCAAACAACACUUAACGGGAUUAAAAGGUGAUGUAGAUUCUUGUCGUAGAGUACCUCCUGAUGUUAGAUUUUAAAUGAAAGAAAACUUGGACAUCUUUGUGCAAAGAAGUGUAGAACUCGAGAAGUUCUUGAUGAGUAGAACGCACAUAGCUCUUAUUAUUGGGAACAAGAAGACCACACGUAUAGACAUUUGGGUGAUGAUGAUGUUCAAGAGAUUAUCCAUUCUAGUUCUCAAGGAAAGGAUAUAGCUAUUGAUAAAAGUCGAAGAAAAUGAAUGGGAGCUAAACAUUUAAAAGAACAAAAAGGAGUUGGUUCUUACUUCAUGCCAAGAACAGGACCUGGUAACCAACCUACUAUCAAAAGUGUUCUCAGAGCAAAGAAGCUAUAGAGAAAUGUGAUCUCACUAUAUCAAAAUAGAUGAUUGAUUCAUGUAUUCCUUUCAAUGCUAUAAAUUCUGUGUAUUAUCAACAAAGUAUAGAUGUCAUAGCUAGCAUGGACCCUGGCUAUAAAAGUGCGAACUUUCACAGUCUCGACUAAAAAUGUCGAUGAGGUACAAAAUUAUGUUGAAAGCUAUCGUUUAAUGUGGAAGACGACUGGUUGUACAAUUAUGGCAUAUGGUUGGAGACAUCAGUGUAAAAGAAAUCUUAUUAAUUUUUUAGUUUAUUGUCCAAAAGGAACAAUAUUCUUAAAAUCCAUGAUGCUUUAGAUGAAUGAAAAAGUGCUGAUAUGUUAUACAAGUUAUUUCGAGAUGUUGUGUUAUUUGUAGGAUCAUAAUAUGUGGUCCAUAUGGUGACGGACAAUGCUGUAAACUAUGUUGACUCUGGUAGGUUAUUGAAGCGAGAGUUUUAAACAUUGUUUUGGUCUCCAUGUGCAGUUUAUUAUAUUAAUCUAAUGUUUUGUGAUAUUGGUAAGCUUGAUGAAGUUAGUAAUGUCGUAUAUCAAGCAUCAAAAAUCACAAAAUACAUAUACUACCAUUGCUACCCAUUGCAUUUGAUGAGAAAAUUUACUGGAAGAAAGGAAAUACUUCGACCCGCUCCUACUCAUUUUGCUACUAACUUUAUUGCUUUACAAGGCAUAUUGGCCCAAAAGGAUCCGUUAAGAGCAAUGGCGACAUCUAAAAAAUGGACUUUAUCAGCAUAUGCAAAGGAAGGUAAAGGAAAGAGAAUUGUUGAUGACGUACUUGAUUCUGUGUUUUGGAAAGAGUGUGCUACUAUUGUGCAUCUUACUGAGCCCCUCGUUCGUGUUUUACGAUUGUUGAUAGUGAUGAAAAGCCUUCGAUAGGCUACUUGUAUCAAGCUAUUCAUGUGGCAAAAAGUGAGAUGGAGCGCAUGUUUCAAAGAAAGAAGAAUAGAGUGGCUCCUUACUUGCAAAUUAUUCAGAAUUGAUGGGAUAGUCAAUUACAUAAAAAUCUUCAUGCCGCUAGGUAUUGGUGAAACCCUUCUUUCCAAUACAAUAAUCCUGAUAUGGAAAAUUAUAGACAAACUAUUUCAAGACUUUUAGAUGUAAUCGAGAGAUAUGCUUAGGGUCAACCUGAUUUAAGAAGCAAAUUGACUAGUGAAAUGAGAUUAUUUAGGCAAGCACAUGGUGACUUUGGAUGUUUAUUUGCAGUAGCUAAUCGUCUAGAAUGGCUUCUGGUAAAUUGUUAUUCUCAUGUUAUGUACUUUAUUAUGUUAUAUAAUUCAGAUUUUAGUUUAUGUAACAUAUGCCUAUUUUAUUUCUCUUUCUUUUGGUACAGAUGAAUGGUGGAUGUGUUAUGAUAGUAGUGCACCAAAUCUACAAACUCUUGCAAUUCGAGUAUUAAGUCAAACAUGUAGUUCUUCAGGUUGCGAGAGAAAUUGGAGUAUGUUUGAACAUAUUCAUUCUAAAAAGGGAAAUAGACUCGAGCACCAAAAGCUUAAUGAUCUUGUUUAUGUUCACUACAAUUUACGAUUGCAACAAUGGUAUAUUAUUUAAAUAAAUCCUUUAAUCCUUUUGUGAAUUUUUCUAAUUAAGAUUUUGCUUUCUUGUACCAGAAUUAUAUUUUGAUUAAUUAUAAAUUGGAUAAUAAACUUUGUUUAGGAAUUAUUUCAAAAGUCGAAAUUAUGAUCCUAUCGACUUUGAAAGGUUUGGCAUUUAUGGCAAUUAGGUAUUAGAGGAGAAGCCACCAAAUUAGGUGGAUGAUGAGUUGGAGACAUUUCAUCGUGAUUUGGGUGUAUGUUCUAUACAAAAUGAUAAAAAUAAUGGUAACUGUUUGACCGACGCUAUUAUUUUUACAUUUUAUUAAAGUAUAUUUGAUGUAAUGUUGAAAUUUAAAAUUAUUUUCAGAUGAAUUACAUUUUGAUGAUCUUGAUCUUGAUUGUGAUGGAAAUGACGACAAUGGAAAUGGUAAUAGAAAUUAUACAAACAAUGGAAACGAGGAUUUUAGUAUGACUGAGACUCCAUCAUUGGUACAAGGCGAAGGAAUUGAAGAAUUUAUGUUCGAGACCCCAGCAUUGAUGCAUUCUAACUCUUCUUAAUUUAGAAGAUAUUGAUUUAUUUCAAAAUUUCAAAUAAUUUACUUUGUUAACAUGG